GCGGCCUAUCAGCUAGUUGGUGAGGUAACGGCUCACCAAGGCUACGACGGGUAGCCGGUCUCAGAGGACGACCAGCCACACUGGAACUGAGACACGGUCCAGACACCUACGGGUGGCAGCAGUCGAGAAUCUUUCACAAUGGGGGCAACCCUGAUGGAGCGACGCCGCGUGGAGGAUUAAGGUCUUCGGAUUGUAAACUCCUGUCAUGUGAGAGCAAGGCUCUGCGUUAACUGCGCAAAGUUUGAUAGUAUCACAAGAGGAAGAGACGGCUACUCUGUGCCAGCAGCCGCGGUAAUACAGAGGUCUCAAGCGUUGUUCGGAAUCACUGGGCGUAAAGGGUGCGUAGGCGGCAUGGAAAGUCAGAUGUGAAAUCCGAGAGCUCAACUUUCGAAUUGCAUCCGAUACUCCCGUGCUAGAGAACUGAAGGGGAGCUUGGAAUUCUCGGUGUAGCAGUGAAAUGCGUAGAUAUCGAGAGGAACACUAGUGGCGAAGGCGAAGCUCUGGGCAGUAUCUGACGCUGAGGCACGAAGGCCAGGGGAGCGAACGGGAUUAGAUACCCCGGUAGUCCUGGCAGUAAACGGUGCGCGUUUGGUGUGGAGGUGUUCGACCCCCUCUGUGCCGUAGUUAACACGUUAAACGCGCCGCCUGGGAAGUACGGUCGCAAGAUUAAAACUCAAAGAAAUUGACGGGGACCCGCACAAGCGGUGGAGUAUGUGGCUUAAUUCGAUGCAACGCGAAGAACCUUACCUGGACUCGACAUGCACUGUGUCUUGAAUGAAAGUUCAAUAGUGUAGCAAUACACGCUUUGCACAGGUGCUGCAUGGCUGUCGUCAGCUCGUGUCGUGAGAUGUUGGGUUAAGUCCCGCAACGAGCGCAACCCUUGUAGUCUGUUGCCAGCAGAGAAAUCUGCGCACUCAAACUAGACUGCCCAGAUCAACUGGGAGGAAGGUGAGGAUGACGUCAAGUCCGUAUGGCCCUUACGUCCAGGGCUGCACACGUACUACAAUGCCCAGCACAAUGUGACCCGAUGCCGUGAGGUGGAGGAAAUCAACAAAGCUGGGCUCAGUUCAGAUUGAAGGCUGCAACUCGCCUUCAUGAAGUUGGAAUCGCUAGUAAUGGCACAUCAGCUACGGUGCCGUGAAUACGUUCCCGGGUCUUGUACACACCGCCCGUCACAUCAUGGAAGCUGGUUUCGCCCGAAACGCCCAAGCCAACCGCAAGGAAGCAAGGUUCUAAGGCAAGACUGGUAACUGGGAUGAAGUCGUAACAAGGUA
rnacentral:rRNA from 1 species